rnacentral:rRNA from 1 species
AACGAACGCUGGCGGCAGGCUUAACACAUGCAAGUCGAACGAGAUCUUCGGAUCUAGUGGCAGACGGGUGAGGAACACGUGGGAACAUCCCUUUCAGUUCGGAAUAACGUUGGGAAACUAACGCUAAUACCGGAUACGUCCUUCGGGAGAAAGAUUUAUCGCUGAAAGAUUGGCCCGCGUCUGAUUAGCUAGUGGGUGAGGUAAUGGCUCACCAAGGCUACGAUCAGUAGCUGAUCUGAGAGGAUGAUCAGCCACAUUGGGACUGAGACACGGACCUACCUCCUACGGGAGGCAGCAGUGGGGCAUAUUGGACAAUGGGCGCAAGCCUGUUCCAGCCCUGCCGCGUGAGUGAUGACGGCCUUCGGGUUGAAAAGCUCUUUUGUCCGGGAAGAUAAUGACUGUACCGGAAGAAUAAGCCCCGGCAAACUUCGUGCCAGCAGCCGCGGUAA